rnacentral:rRNA from 1 species
GCAUUCAGUUGCCAUCGGUGAGGCCGGGCACUCUGGAUGGACUGCCGGCGACAAGCCGGAGGAAGGUGGGGACGGACGUCAAGUCAUCAUGGCCCUUAUGUCCAGGGCGACACACGUGCUACAAUGGCCGGCACAGCGGGAAGGCGAAGGGGCGACGUCUGAGCGGAUCCCUUAAAGCCGGUCCCAGUUCGGAUUGCAGUCUGCAACUCGACUGCAUGAAGUUGGAAUCGCUAGUAAUCGUGGAUCAGCCAAGCCGCGGUGAAUACGUUCCCGGGCCUU